rnacentral:rRNA from 1 species
UCGUGUUUUGAAAUGUCUGGUUGAUUCCGUUAACGAACGAGACUUCCGCCUUUAAAUAGAGUGGAUAAGCGAGUGUGGUGGAGUUUGAGGUCAAGAGGUGAGCCCGGCCGCCUCAGAAGGGUUUUAGUCCCCUGGGGAUGUGCCGACAGUGCUGUGCUCUGGCUGAUCCACUUACCGCUUGUUCAAGUGAAUCUCUUCUUAGAGGGACAAAUGGCAAAAAGCCAUGGGAAGUUGGAAG